GGCCCUACCUCGGGGUGCGUGGGCGACCGCGCUGAGAUGCCUGAUUGGCGAACCCGUUGAACCUGAACCGGCUAGAACCGGCGGAGGGAAGGCAAGCGGUUUCAUC
rnacentral:ncRNA from 1 species